GACGAACGCUGGCGGCGUGCUUAACACAUGCAAGUCGAACGGAAAGGCCCUGCUUGCAGGGUACUCGAGUGGCGAACGGGUGAGUAACACGUGAGUGAUCUGCCCUGCACUUCGGGAUAAGCCUGGGAAACUGGGUCUAAUACCGGAUAGGAGCCAUUUUUAGUGUGAUGGUUGGAAAGUUUUUUCGGUGUAGGAUGAGCUCGCGGCCUAUCAGCUUGUUGGUGGGGUAAUGGCCUACCAAGGCGGCGACGGGUAGCCGGCCUGAGAGGGUGGACGGCCACAUUGGGACUGAGAUACGGCCCAGACUCCUACGGGAGGCAGCAGUGGGGAAUAUUGCACAAUGGGCGCAAGCCUGAUGCAGCGACGCCGCGUGGGGGAGGACGGCCUUCGGGUUGUAAACUCCUUUCGCUAGGGACGAAGCUUUUUGUGACGGUACCUAGAUAAGAAGCACCGGCUAACUACGUG
rnacentral:rRNA from 1 species